AAGUCGUAACAAGGUUUCCGUAGGUGAACCUGCGGAAGGAUCAUUACCGAGUGAGGGCCCUCUGGGUCCAACCUCCCACCCGUGUUUAUUAUACCUUGUUGCUUCGGCGGGCCCGCCGUAUGGCCGCCGGGGGGCUUCUGCCUCCGGGCCCGCGCCCGCCGAAGACAUCUCGAACUCUGUCUGAAGAUUGUAGUCUGAGUAAAAAACUAUAAAUUAUUUAAAAU
rnacentral:misc_RNA from 1 species